AAAAUCUAAUAUUUUGAGUACAUGAUUAAUUGAAUAGAAAGUUUUGCGUUAUAUGUUAAGCGUUUACGAUAAGGCUAGAAUGUAAGAAUAAUUUACGAUAUUGUCGUCAAAACGAAAACGAAACCAAAGGAUAAAAGGACCUGUGAACAAAGCUGGAGGACAAUCAGACCCGACAUCGAAAUUUUUGCGAAUACGGACGCUCAAGCUAUGCAGAACGGAUUACCAGCCGCAAAAAAUCAACCAGAUAAUCGAACGUCGAACGUUAAAGACUUCAAAGCGGUCCUAUCGCUAGGAUUUAGAAAAUCAAAUGACCUUGUAACAACGUUAGUAAUAGCUAGGAUAAUGAAGGGGCAAAAGACAACUUUUGUCGCCUAUAAAAUAAAAGAAGAUAAUUUUGAUAAUACCGGAGAUAAGCCGGGAAUGUGAUUAAAAGGAAACGUUUGUG
rnacentral:lncRNA from 1 species